UACGGGGGGAGCAAGCGUUGUUCGGAUUUACUGGGCGUAAAGGGCGCGUAGGCGGCCACCGCAAGUCGACUGUGAAAUCUCCGGGCUUAACUCGGAAAGGUCAGCCGAUACUGCGGGCUAGAGUGCAGAAGGGGCAACUGGAAUUCUCGGUGUAGCGGUGAAAUGCGUAGAUAUCGAGAGGAACACCUGCGGCGAAGGCGGGUUGCUGGGCUGACACUGACGCUGAUGUGCGAAAGCUAGGGGAGCGAACGGG
rnacentral:rRNA from 1 species